GUUUGAUGCUAUUAUUAUCUGUUAGAUUAAGAAGAAGACAAACGCCUAUCUUACCGUGCUCAGGACUUUGUUGAAGUACAGGAAACUGACGGCAACCGCGGUGGUCUGCAGGAGGAUUGCUGCGAGCAGGAUGAGCCCCAGACUCUGGAGAGAUACAGAGACGGCCAUAAUCACAGCACAGCGUGAGUCAAUUCCCAGGCUCGUCAGAGAGAAGGAGAGGAGAAGGUGACUGAUAUCUGAAGACUAUCUGGCCUCGGGCAGGGAAGAUGACACCCUGAGAGACAUGCCUGUCUACAGUCCCAUGGCGAGAGAGAGACGGUCCAAUCAGCCGGUGACCUUUUGACCUCUGCAUACAUGUCCACACAUAGACUGUAUAUUAGUUAUUAUAUUAUUAUAAUAUAAU